UGGGGAAUAUUGCACAAUGGGCGCAAGCCUGAUGCAGCCAUGCCGCGUGUGUGAAGAAGGCCUUCGGGUUGUAAAGCACUUUCAGCGAGGAGGAAGGUGGUGAGCUUAAUACGCUCAUCAAUUGACGUUACUCGCAGAAGAAGCACCGGCUAACUCCGUGCCAGCAGCCGCGGUAAUACGGAGGGUGCAAGCGUUAAUCGGAAUUACUGGGCGUAAAGCGCACGCAGGCGGUUUGUUAAGUCAGAUGUGAAAUCCCCGGGCUCAACCUGGGAACUGCAUUUGAAACUGGCAAGCUAGAGUCUCGUAGAGGGGGUAGAAUUCCAGGUGUAGCGGUGAAAUGCGUAGAGAUCUGGAGGAAUACCGGUGGCGAAGGCGGCCCCCCUGGAGAAGACUGACGCUCAGGUGCG
rnacentral:rRNA from 1 species